rnacentral:rRNA from 1 species
UACGAAGGGGGCUAGCGUUGCUCGGAAUCACUGGGCGUAAAGCGCGCGUAGGCGGGUCUUUAAGUCAGGGGUGAAAUCCCGGAGCUCAACUCCGGAACUGCCUUUGAUACUGGAGAUCUUGAGUCCGGGAGAGGUGAGUGGAACUCCGAGUGUAGAGGUGAAAUUCGUAGAUAUUCGGAAGAACACCAGUGGCGAAGGCGGCUCACUGGCCCGGUACUGACGCUGAGGUGCGAAAGCGUGGGGAGCAAACAGG